rnacentral:rRNA from 1 species
CCUACGGGAGGCAGCAGUGAGGAAUAUUGGUCAAUGGCCGGGAGGCUGAACCAGCCAAGUCGCGGGAGGGAAGACGGCCCUACGGGUUGUAAAACUCUGUGGUCAGGGAGUAAGGUGCAGGUCGGGACCUGCUGUGAGAGUACCUGAAGAAAAAGCAUCGGCUAACUCCGUGACAGCAGCCGAGGGAGUACGGAGGAAGCGAGCGUUAUCCGGAUUUAGUGGGUUUAAAGGGUGCGCAGGCGGAGGCACAAGUCAGCGGGAAAAUCGCGGGGCUCAACCCCGCUCCGCCGUUGAAACUGUGUCCCUUGAGUGCGCGAAGGGUAGGCGGAAUGCGUGGUGUAGCGGUGAAAUGCAUAGAUAUCACGCAGAACUCCGAUCGCGAAGGCAGCCUACCGGCGCGCAACUGACGCUCAUGCACGAAAGCGUGGGUAUCGAACAGGAUUAGAUACCCCUGUAGUC